UUGGAAACGCUAUCGCUCCGGUAAUAAAGAGUCUCUGGCAGCAACUCGUCAUAACAUAAAUGUACUUGUCUCAGAGUCGCUGCCGCGACUCUAGAUAUUGAACAUUUUAGAUCCAUUUGGAAGUAGAAUUUUUUCACUCUAACGCCUCACGAAAUAUUUCGUUCUAGAAUCAUAUUUUCGAAUGAUCAGGCCAGAACUGUUUUUUAAUCAAUGAGAGUGUCUCGAGAUUGUAGAUUUUCGGGACGUAUCUUUUUCAUUGGUAAUCCAAUAACGAAAACCUAUUUUUCAUCUGGUUUUCUCACUCCUAGAGAUACAAAGUCGUUCAAAGGUGCAAAAUCAUCGAACGUAAUGUCAAACUCCGUAAUUAUCUUUUUAUUUUUUAAAAUGCUCCAGCAUUGAAUCAACGAGAUUUCGUCUCUACAAAAUUUUUACUUUGAUAUUAACGAAACGCUUUACUUGCCAGCUCAUAAAUGGUAUUAUCCGUUAGACAAUCGGCUAGUAUUUUGCAGUAGCAAAAAGUCGUUGAAGACCUGAGCCAUGUUAGAACACGUAAUUGGCAAUGAAAAAAUUUGAUAAAAUUCCCGAACACUCUUCAACACUUCUACUUCAAGGGGACGCUAUGGAAAUUGCAAAAAAAGUUUAACAAAUUCUUCAUUUUUCGUCAUAAAUAUACCCACUUCUCAUAGAUGCAAACAUUCAUGUUUUUUUUUUUUUUUUUUUUUUUUUUUCAAUUAAUAAUUCGAAUCUAUAUGUAUAAUUUGAAAACUGAGUAAAUGAUCAAGUAAAGGAAAUGAAUUCUCAGUGAAAGGCGAGUAUUGAUCGCGCGGAGCGAACGUUUUUCGCAUUACGUAUUAAAGAACCGGAAACAAAAGUCAGCGGACUAAGUUCUUUCUGAGUGACGCUCGUAAACUCUGAUAAACGCACGAAAAAAUAAUAAAAGUUUAGAAAAUUAUUAUUGAGUAGCAUAUAAUCUACCGUCAGCAAGUUUACCCGUGAUUUUCCGGUCGAAGAGCAUAGUGAAAACGGGAAUAGGAGAGAUGGAGUAAGCGACGAUGAAGUAGUUAAUAGAAUAUCCAGCGAUGUAACGGAUGACGUAUCGAGCGAAGAUGAAACGGAAAUUCUAAUGAGGGAUGCGUCACAGGAACAAUGGGUUUCAUUGUUGGGCGCUCGUGGGAGGUUCGCAACUGUUUUGAGGAGAACAAAAACUCUUACGCCUGGUUAAUCCAGCUGAAACAUACAAGAAAAUAUAUGAAUCUCGAAAGCGUAUGUAACUGCCUGAAAACAUAUCAACCUCCCAACGUUAUAAGCUACAUCGAAUUUUUCGUUUUGCAAAGGAUCCUAUUUCCCGAACGCGUAUAAGGGUUUUUUUUUAGAGCAUUGUCGGGUUGGUCUGAAUUUUCGUGAAUGUAAAUGUGUGAUGUCAAUUAUUACUCUCGGAGAUAAAUGGAAUAUGCCCGGCUCCUAAUUGAUUGUGUAAAUACAACAACAUUUUUUGAUAUUCCACAGCGAAAUUAGACAAUUUUUAGAGUAGUAUUUUCGAUAUACUUUUAGAAUAGUAUUUUCGAGUGCUCGGUGAACACGGUCCUAUUUUUCCAAAAAUAUGCAAUUGUUAUAUCGUUCACUUUAUUGCUUAAGCUAAUCCGUGCAUUAUUAAAUAAUAUUCGAAUUCACGAGAGAAAUAUUUCGAAUAGAUUCAAGGCGAUACGAUAGCAAGCGAAUCAUCCUCCAUAGGCAUAUUUGUAAACGCUACGUUUGAUAGUUUUGCCGAUAAAUCAUGUAUUAAUAAACUUCGUAUGAAUUCAAUUGUGUUUUCAUGCAUUCACUCAUGACCAUGCGCGAUUGCUGGAUAUUCCUGAAACGCGUGUUCGAUGCCCCAGUUAUUAACACGGGAGGUAUAUAAUCAAAGUCGGCCUUAUCUCUCGGGGUGCACGUUUAUUUGCUCGAACACAAAGUUAUUUCUAGACAAUAGUCAAACGGCGCUCUCUUGUUUCUCUCCAUUUUAGCCUUUCAGUGGCGUAGACUACGGGGGCGCAUAUCUCGUCGCGUCGUCGCAUUGAUCCAAGGAGUGUCAAUUUCUUUUCACGUAGCUGAAAAAGUUCCGAAAUGAGAUGUAAUCUACCUGGCUUGUAAAACGCUGUAAAAAUUGAUGAAAAUUUUCUUCAUAACCAAUAUCUAUUUCAUUUUAAUACAAGAUUUAUUCAUAUUUGAAUACAAUGUAACAGAUUUUUUUUUAUGUAAACGAAGGAACCUCCAUUGCCCUCACUUAAUAUAUUUUGGUAUUCGUAUGAAUUUGUGUUAAAUUAAGUUUAUGAACGAACUGAGCGGAAUAAUAUGCGAUUGAAUUUUCAGGUUUUUCAAAAUGUUGGAAAAAUUUGAUCUCAAAUUAUUUGAGAUAGGGAAGAGGAUCUUUUCGUAAGAGUAAUUUUAAAUGAGGAUUACUAGAUCAUCUUUUAAAACGGUUAAUGACUUAUCAUCAUGGUUCCAUUCUAUGUUGAUAAUUCAACUCAAUUUCGAACGAUCUGAAUGAAGAACGUACAAUUGCUUCUGGAGAUUUUUCUUUAUUAUAAUCUUUAAUUUAUCUAAACAAUAACUAUGAGCGACGUUAGCUUACGAAAUUUUGCACAUUUGGCUGAUUCAUUUUUUCAAAGGAUAUUGAUAAUGAGGUGGCCUUGGAGGUAGGAAUCCUGUGACAUCAUAUGUAGAUUCAUGAUGAAUCCUUGCAACUCUCGGAUCAUCAGAUCUCAUAACUGUGAACAGAACAUUAAAAAAAUCAUUUAUGGCAAAAAACAAGUUUCGUUUCAGGUCUCCUAACGUUUUUCUUAUACUUGUUUUUUUUUUCAACAAGACCCCUAGUUACUGGAUUGUACAGAUGUAUUUUGCAUUGAAUUAUAAUAUUUCUGCAAGCAAAUGAA